rnacentral:rRNA from 1 species
AGUACGGCGGAACACGAGAAAUUCCGUCGGAAUCCGCGGGGACCAUCCCGCAAGGCUAAAUACUCCCUAGUGACCGAUAGUGAACCAGUACCGUGAGGGAAAGGUGAAAAGCACCCCGGAAGGGGAGUGAAAUAGAUCCUGAAACCGUGUGCCUACAACAAGUCAAAGCUCGUUAAUGAGUGAUGGCGUGCCUUUUGUAGAAUGAACCGGCGAGUUACGAUUGCAUGCGAGGUUAAGUCGAAGAGACGGAGCCGCAGCGAAAGCGAGUCUGAAUAGGGCGAAUGAGUAUGUAGUCGUAGACCCGAAACCAUGUGAUCUACCCAUGUCCAGGUUGAAGGUGCGGUAAAACGCACUGGAGGACCGAACCCACGUACGUUGAAAAGUGCGGGGAUGAGGUGUGGGUAGCGGAGAAAUUCCAAACGAACUUGGAGAUAGCUGGUUCUCUCCGAAAUAGCUUUAGGGCUAGCCUCGGAAUUGAGAAUGAUGGAGGUAGAGCACUGUUUGGACUAGGGGCCCAUCUCGGGUUACCGAAUUCAGAUAAACUCCGAAUGCCAUUCAUUUAUAUCCGGGAGUCAGACUGCGAGUGAUAAGAUCCGUAGU